CAGACUCACCUUGCAUUAUUUCUCUUGUUCCUGAAUACAUAAUUGGAAUAGACAUACCUGGCAUCUGGCAGAAUCUCCACAGGCACUCUCUUACCCUUGUGCUAAGGGUCAUUAUAACAGAAAAGGUUUGACAUGUGCAUGUAUCAGAUGGGCCUUGGAGAAUGACUGUGGACUACUGUAAUCAGGUGGUGCCUCCAAUUGCAGCUGUUUUUCCAGCUAUCUACUGGAGCAUAUCAGCACAGCCUUUGAUUCUGAUGGCGGCAACUUCAUCCUAGUGCUCAGGCAAAAAUCCUGUCGGCUCUAUACAUCAGUUAUGGUUUAACCUGGGGAGUAGAACCGUCCAGUGAUAUGGAAUCAGGAUUUUAUUAGAAGGAUAAGACCUUACACUAUCGUGGAAGAAGCUAAGGAGGAAAGAUCAACAAGGAGAUGAUUGGAGAAUCAGAGAGAAGUC